rnacentral:rRNA from 1 species
GACGAACGCUGGCGGCGUGCUUAAAACAUGCAAGUCGAACGGACUUCUCAUGAAGCUUGCGAUUGAGAAGUUAGUGGCGGACGGGUGAGUAACGCGUGGGCAACCUGCCCCUGAGCCCGGGAUAACAGUUCGAAAGGACUGCUAAGACCGGAUAUACUUGCGGGGAAGCAUUUCACUGCAAGGAAGGGAACGCUCAGGGAUGGGCCCGCGUCCCAUUAGCUAGUUGGUGAGGUAACGGCCCACCAAGGCGACGAUGGGUAGCCGGCCUGAGAGGGUGAACGGCCACACUGGGACUGAGACACGGCCCAGACUCCUACGGGAGGCAGCAGUUGGGAAUCUUCGGCAAUGGGCGCAAGCCUGACCGAGCAACGCCGCGUGAGUGAUGAAGGUUUUCGGAUUGUAAAGCUCUGUCUUCCGGGACGAUAAUGACGGUACCGGAGGAGGAAGCCACGGCUAACUACGUG